rnacentral:rRNA from 1 species
GUGGGGAAUUUUGGACAAUGGGCGCAAGCCUGAUCCAGCAAUGCCGCGUGCAGGAAGAAGGCCUUCGGGUUGUAAACUGCUUUUGUACGGAACGAAAAGGCUCUGGUUAAUACCUGGGGCUCAUGACGGUACCGUAAGAAUAAGCACCGGCUAACUACGUGCCAGCAGCCGCGGUAAUACGUAGGGUGCAAGCGUUAAUCGGAAUUACUGGGCGUAAAGCGUGCGCAGGCGGUUUUGUAAGACAGAGGUGAAAUCCCCGGGCUCAACCUGGGAAUUGCCUUUGUGCCUGCAAGGCUGGAGUGCGGCAGAGGGGGAUGGAAUUCCGCGUGUAGCAGUGAAAUGCGUAGAUAUGCGGAGGAACACCGAUGGCGAAGGCAAUCCCCUGGGCCUGCACUGACGCUCAUGCACGAAAGCGUGGGGAGCAAACAGGAUUAGAAACCCUUGUAGUCC